rnacentral:misc_RNA from 1 species
CUGAGUCGUAAAAAACUCCCAAACCCAUGUGAACUUACCUAUGUUGCCUCGGUGGGACCUACCCUGUACCUACCCUGUAGUUACCCUGUAGCCCGCCGAAGGACCAUUCAACUCUUGUUAUUUUAUAUAAAUCUGAGCGUCUUAUUAAAUAAGUCA